GAUGAACGCUAGCGGCAGGCCUAACACAUGCAAGUCGAGGGGUAGCAGGAUUAAGCUUGCUUAAUUGCUGACGACCGGCGCACGGGUGCGUAACGCGUAUGCAACCUACCUUAUACUGGGGUAUAGCCCGGAGAAAUUCGGAUUAAUCCCCCAUAGUACUAAUGAAUCGCAUGGUUUAUUAGUUAAAGCAUUGCGGUAUAAGAUGGGCAUGCGUCCUAUUAGCUAGAUGGUGAGGUAACGGCUCACCAUGGCUACGAUAGGUAGGGGGCCUGAGAGGGUGGUCCCCCACACUGGAACUGAGACACGGACCAGACUCCUACGGGAGGCAGCAGUGAGGAAUAUUGGUCAAUGGGCGCAAGCCUGAACCAGCCAUGCCGCGUGCAGGAAGAAUGCCCUAUGGGUUGUAAAUUGCUUUUAUUUGGGAAUAAACCUCUUUACGUGUAGAGAGCUGAAGGUACCAAAUGAAUAAGCACCGGCUAACUCCGUGCCAGCAGCCGCAGUAA
rnacentral:rRNA from 1 species